UACGUAGGGUGCAAGCGUUUGUCCGGAAUUAUUGGGCGUAAAGAGCUCGUAGGCGGUCUGUCGCGUCGGCUGUGAAAACUCGGGGCUCAACCCCGAGCCUGCAGUCGAUACGGGCAGACUAGAGUGCUGUAGGGGAGACUGGAAUUCCCGGUGUAGCGGUGAAAUGUGUAGAGAUCGGGAGGAACACCGGUGGCGAAGGCGGGUCUCUGGGCCGAUACUGACGCUGAGGAGCGAAAGCGUGGGGAGCAAACAGG
rnacentral:rRNA from 1 species